rnacentral:tRNA from 1 species
AGGCGGAUAGCUCAGUUGGUAGAGCAACGCUUUUACACGGCGUGGGUCGCAGGUUCGAGCCCUGUUCCGCCUA